rnacentral:rRNA from 1 species
AGUGAACGCUGGCGGUAGGCCUAACACAUGCAGGUCGAACGGCAGCACAGUAAGAGCUUGCUCUUACGGGUGGCGAGUGGCGGACGGGUGAGGAAUACAUCGGAAUCUACUUUUUCGUGGGGGAUAACGUAGGGAAACUUACGCUAAUACCGCAUACGACCUACGGGUGAAAGCAGGGGAUCUUCGGACCUUGCGCGAUUGAAUGAGCCGAUGUCGGAUUAGCUAGUUGGCGGGGUAAAGGCCCACCAAGGCGACGAUCCGUAGCUGGUCUGAGAGGAUGAUCAGCCACACUGGAACUGAGACACGGUCCAGACUCCUACGGGAGGCAGCAGUGGGGAAUAUUGGGCAAUGGGCGCAAGCCUGAUCCAGCCAUACCGCGUGGGUGAAGAAGGCCUUCGGGUUGUAAAGCCCUUUUGUUGGGAAAGAAAAGCAGCAGGUUAAUACCCCGCUGUUCUGACGGUACCCAAAGAAUAAGCACCGGCUAACUUCGUG